GAUCUUUAUAUAAUUAAUAGUUUAAUAAAAAUCAGUUAAAAUUAUUUUUAAAUUAUUAUUAUAUUAUGUUGGGGUAAUAAUAAAAUUUUUAAAAUUUUUAUUUAUUAUAAACAUUUAUAAUUGAAUUUUUGAUCCAAUAAUAUUGAUUAAAAAAUUAAGUUACCUUAGGGAUAACAGCGUAAUGAUUUUUGAGAGUUCUUAUUGAUAAAAUAGUUUGU
rnacentral:rRNA from 1 species